CAGAGUUGAUCAUGGCUCAGGAUGAACGCUGGCGGCGUGCCUAACACAUGCAAGUCGAACGAAGCUUGACGGAUGAUUUCUUCGGAAUGAAACCAGAUAUGACUUAGUGGCGGACGGGUGAGUAACACGUGAGCAACCUGCCUUUCAGAGGGGGAUAACGGCUGGAAACGGUCGCUAAUACCGCAUGAUGUGUUCGGAUGGCAUCAUCUGAACAUCAAAGAUUUAUCG
rnacentral:rRNA from 1 species